UUAUGACAUAUAAUAAAGCCGGAUAAUACGAACAACAGUUUAAAAUCCAAAGAACUUGGCGGUAUCUUAUAUAAUCAGGGGAACCUGUCACUUAAUUCGAUAAUCCACGAAAAUCAUCACCUUUCUUCGAAUAACAGCCUGUGUACUGCUGUCGUCAGUAAACCUCUAAAAGUAAGUUUACAACUAUACAAUAAAUAUUUACGUCAAGUCAAAGUGCAGCUAAUAGAAAGGGGUAGAUGGGUUACAAUCUAAAUACAGAUACGGAAAUUUUAAAAUAACAAAAUCAAAGGUGGACUUGAAAGUAAUGAUCUACAGUCAUGAAGCUAAAUCUAAGAUAUGCACACAUCGCCCGUCACUCUCGUCUAAAGAUG
rnacentral:rRNA from 1 species